rnacentral:rRNA from 1 species
UACGUAGGGGGCAAGCGUUGUCCGGAAUCAUUGGGCGUAAAGAGCGUGUAGGCGGCUCGGUAAGUCCGCUGUAAAAGUCCAGGGCUCAACCCUGGAAAGCCGGUGGAAACUGUCGAGCUAGAGUCCGGAAGAGGCGAGUGGAAUUCCUGGUGUAGCGGUGAAAUGCGCAGAUAUCAGGAGGAACACCAAUGGCGAAGGCAGCUCGCUGGGACGGUACUGACGCUGAGACGCGAAAGCGUGGGGAUCAAACAGG